rnacentral:tRNA from 1 species
GGUCGACGUAGCUCUAACUGAAUAGAGUAGCUGACUACGGAUCAGCCGGUUACAGGUUUGAAAUCCUGUCGCGAUCAACA